UACGUAGGCAGCAAGCGUUGUUCGGAAUUACUGGGCGUAAAGAGUGUGUAGGCGGUGCUCUAAGUCUGUUGUGAAAUCUCCCGGCUUAACUGGGAGGGUGCGGCGGAGACUGGAGUGCUAGAGUGUGGGAGAGGUAAGCGGAAUUCCUGGUGUAGCGGUGAAAUGCGUAGAUAUCAGGAGGAACACCGGUGGCGAAGGCGGGUCUCUGGGCCGAUACUGACGCUGAGGAGCGAAAGCGUGGGGGAGCGAACAGG
rnacentral:rRNA from 1 species